CUUCAGCGAGCCGAGCCACAACGGACCGGCGUCACGGUCCCGGCCGUACGUCGCCAGCAGCGCGCCCGCCUC
rnacentral:antisense_RNA from 1 species